rnacentral:lncRNA from 1 species
GUUGAAAAUACCUAUUGCUAUAAAAUAAGUGAAGAUUUUUAAAAGAUGAGAUAGAAAAAUUAAGAUGGAAGAUUAUGAUGAAGAUAUUGGCAUUUUUGAAGAAGACAAUUAUUUUGGAGACAAUCGUGAAAAUAGAAAUGAAGGACUUGAUGAAAAAAAUGAAGAGAUGGUAUGAUGCCAACAAUGAUAUUUGGUUCAUUUGGUGCAUGCCGGAGGAUGCGCAAGUUAAGAGGGGGUAGAUGUUGUGAUGUAAUACGACUAUAUAUUGAAAUUAUAAUCAAAAUUGAAUUU